rnacentral:rRNA from 1 species
GAUGAACGCUGGCGGCGUGCCUAAUACAUGCAAGUCGAGCGAACAGACGAGGAGCUUGCUCCUCUGACGUUAGCGGCGGACGGGUGAGUAACACGGGGAUAACCUACCUAUAAGACUGGGAUAACUUCGGGAAACCGGAGCUAAUACCGGAUAAUAUAUUGAACCGCAUGGUUCAAUAGUGAAAAACGGUUUUGCUUUCACUUAUAGAUGGAUCCGCGCCGCAUUAGCUAGUUGGUAAGGUAACGGCUUACCAAGGCAACGAUGCGUAGCCGACCUGAGAGGGUGAUCGGCCACACUGGAACUGAGACACGGUCCAGACUCCUACGGGAGGCAGCAGUAGGGAAUCUUCCGCAAUGGGCGAAAGCCUGACGGAGCAACGCCGCGUGAGUGAUGAAGGUCUUCGGAUCGUAAAACUCUGUUAUUAGGGAAGAACAAAUGUGUAAGUAACUAUGCACGUCUUGACGGUACCUAAUCAGAAAGCCACGGCUAACUACGUG